rnacentral:rRNA from 1 species
UUGUAAGUGUCUAAGG